rnacentral:rRNA from 1 species
AGCAGCCGCGGUAAUUCCAGCUCCAAUAGCGUAUAUUAAAGUUGUUGCAGUUAAAAGCUCGUAGUUGAAUUUCGGGAUCAGUUGGUCGGUCGUGCCUCGGUACGUACUGGUCAAAUUGAUUCCUACCUUCUGACGAACCGCGAUGUCAUUAAUUUGGUGUCGCGGGAAAUCAGGACUGUUACUUUGAAAAAUUAGAGUGUUUAAAGCAGGCUCGCGCUUGAAUACAUUAGCACGGAAUAAUGAAAUAGGACGUUCGACCCUAUUUUGUUGGUUUCUAGGAUCGACGUAAUGAUUAAUAGGGAUAGUUGGGGGCAUUAGUAUUCAAUUGUCAGAGGUGAAAUUCUUGGAUUUAUUGAAGACUAACUACUGCGAAAGCAUUUGCCAAGGAUGUUUUCAUUAAUCAAGAACGAAAGUUAGGGGAUCGAAGACGAUCAGAUACCGUCGUAGUCUUAACCAUAAACUAUGCCGACUAGGGAUCGGAUGAUGUAAUUUUUUAAUGACUCAUUCGGCGCCUUACGGG